rnacentral:rRNA from 2 species
GAUUUCUGGCUUAGGCUAGGCGCUCGCUUCCUCACGGGAGUGCGGCGCCGCUGUCUGUGUCAUCCUUCUAGAUGACGUGGGUGCUGGGUUUACUCCUGGUGCUCUGCGGCUGUCUAGAUCUUUUACUUUGAAGAAAUUAGAGUGUUCAAAGCAGGCAUACCGCUUUGCAUACAUUAGCAUGGAAUAAUACUAUAGGACUUUGGUUCUAUUGUGUUGGUCUAGAACUGAAGUAAUGAUUGAUAGGGAUAGUUGGGGGUGCUAGUAUUCAACGGCCAGAGGUGAAAUUCUUGGAUUCGUUGAAGACUAACUUAUGCGAAAGCAUU